rnacentral:rRNA from 1 species
AUUGAACGCUGGCGGCAGGCCUAACACAUGCAAGUCGAGCGGAUGACAGGAGCUUGCUCCUGGAUUCAGCGGCGGACGGGUGAGUAAUGCCUAGGAAUCUGCCUGGUAGUGGGGGACAACGUUUCGAAAGGAACGCUAAUACCGCAUACGUCCUACGGGAGAAAGCAGGGGACCUUCGGGCCUUGCGCUAUCAGAUGAGCCUAGGUCGGAUUAGCUAGUUGGUGAGGUAAUGGCUCACCAAGGCGACGAUCCGUAACUGGUCUGAGAGGAUGAUCAGUCACACUGGAACUGAGACACGGUCCAGACUCCUACGGGAGGCAGCAGUGGGGAAUAUUGGACAAUGGGCGAAAGCCCGAUCCAGCCAUGCCGCGUGUGUGAAGAAGGUCUUCGGAUUGUAAAGCACUUUAAGUUGGGAGGAAGGGUUGUAGAUUAAUACUCUGCAAUUUUGACGUUACCGACAGAAUAAGCACCGGCUAACUCUGUGCCAGCAGCCGCAGUAACAC